rnacentral:misc_RNA from 1 species
AUCAGAUCUUGUACACCAUGUGUGGAGAGUUUGGAAAAUCAGGAAAUUGGUGAGGUUGUGGAGGUAUUUGACGAAUCAUCUUGGAAGAUGGCUACAAUUGUGAAGGUUCUGGAUAACGACUAUUAUCUGGUACACCAGACUGGAUGUCUGAAGGAGCUUUGUGUGCACAGAUCAAAUACGAGAGUGGUGCAAUGUUGGCAAGAUGAGG